rnacentral:misc_RNA from 1 species
UGUUGAUGGCGGCUUCUGUCUUUCAAGGGGCAUCUUUAGGCCCUCUUUUCAAAUUGGCUAUUGACGUUGACCCGAGCAUCCUAGUAACUGCAUUUGUGGGAACUGCCUUGGCUUUUGCCUGUUUCUCGGGUGCGGCUAUUGUAGCGAAGCGACGGGAAUUCUUGUAUCUGGGUGGUUUGCUGACUUCUGGUCUUUCAAUACUGUUAUGGGUUCAAUUUGCUUCCUUGAUUUUCGGUCAUUCCUCCGCUAGCUUCAAAGUUGAGCUUUAUUUUGGACUACUGGUAUUCUUGGGAUACAUGGUGUUUGAUACCCAAGACAUCAUAGAGAGGGCACAUACAGGGGAUUUGGACUAUGUGAAACAUGCACUGACUCUGUUCACAGACUUUGUGGCUGUCCUGGUCCGGAUAUUGAUCAUUAUGUUGAAGAACUCGUCGAACAAAUCUGAAGAGGAAGAGAAGAAAAGGAAGAAGAGGUCUUGAUCGGCAUUUGCGGAAGUAGAAGAGAUGAAGAUGCAACCUUUAUUGCCUAUAUGCUUCGUUCUCUAGUUUCAGAUCCAGCUUGUUUAGCUUAAAAAAAACAUAAAAUGACAGUUUAUUAAAUUUUAGCUUGUAUAACUAUCCUUACGACUUGCACCAACUCUAUCUGCAUGGCG